rnacentral:lncRNA from 1 species
UACCUUUAACUGAAUAAAUCAGGCAAAUAAUACUAUGCAUAACAAAUCAAUAUGUAAUUUCAUAAAAUCAUAUUCAUACUGUCAAUCAUAUAUAAAAGUCAAUUCAUCAUAAUUUCCAAUUAUGCUUUUCUUCUUAAUUUCAUCAAUUUCUUAAAUUCUUCUUACCAACCAUGACUAUGACCACAUUAUCCCUGUGGCAGGGUCAUAAUACCGCGUAUCUGCUUGCGGUGGGCUGCGAAUCAUCUGGCAGCAAAGUCCUUUGGAACCGCUGGUCUAACUGACGGUUUUGUC